UGAGGCUUGGCUCUGUUCUGCUCGUGGGCGAUGGCGAGUCUGCAUUUUGGAGUCAGGAUCUGUGGCUUAGAGGCAACCACUCACCUUAGCUCCAUCUUGGGAAGCGGGAGGUCAGUCCUCAAGCAGGGGUCAGACCUUUCCUGUGCAUCUAAAUGUGGGGAUGUGCGACGGUGAGAGGGACGAGGAUCGGGGAGAGAAUGAAGUCUCCAGACUUGUAUAAAAUAUAAAUCCCUUUUUGGAGGCCUUGUCGGGUGCAUGUGGAUGUGGAGAAAUGUCAGAUGCAGAUGGUGCUGUGGACCGUUGGACCAGUUUUCCAGAGCUGAGGGACCUUGUGGCCUUGGGUGAGGAAGCUGAGGAGGCCCAGAGAGGGGCGACAGCUUGCCAUGGUCACACAGCAGGAAAGCAGUGAGGAGUCACUCCGCCAAGGUCUCUUAAAGGAGAAGGCUGUGUUAUUUCCCGAGCUGCUUCCUGCGUGGUGCAACCGAGCUGAGAGCCGGAGCCGACUUUGGAAGGCUCAUCCUCCAACCCACUCUCCCGUCGGUGGAAAGGUUUAUAGGAAACAAAGGCUCAGAGAGGCAAAGUGAUUACCCAAGGUCACACAGCUGGAACGCAAUGAAGCCAGGACAUGAACCUGCUCCUAGGGCCCUCCUGUUUUCCAUCCCACGGCCAGUCGUCUCAACCAAGAAGGUCUCAGAGUCAGUCUACACAGAGAGAACACGCCUCCGUCACAUCCACUCCUCUCCCAUGUCCGUCCACGGCCUGGGCACGUCAGAUUUGGGGUCCCACCGUCUCGGAUCCCACGCUUCUGGUGUGCUUGGGAACGGAAGGUGUUUGGGGACAAGCCGGGUAGGAGGCCCGGCUGCCGAAACAAAGAGAGAGAAGGCAAGUUCAGGGGCGCGAGCUAGGGCGGGGGGCGCCCACUGCUUCUUUCUGCAGCCUCCCGAGUCAGCGGGUGGCUCGCACACACACGGUGCCGGGGUUUAAGCCCUGUUUCUAACCACGUGCAUGUAGUUAAUCUCUCCGAGCCUCAGUGUUUAUGAAACAGGAAUAAUAAAAAUGCCCACCCAUACAGUUGCGUGAUUAAAUGGCGUGAUGCGCGAGGACAGCUAUGCCUGUGCCCGGCUCACGGUAAGGACUCGGCGAAUGUGCAAUGUGAAGGUAUGGAUAUUGUAAGUCAGCAAACAGAUGUUGCAUUCUGAGUCUAUGGUAGGAGUCAUUUCCAUGUAUCUCACUUAAAAAAAAUCACAAUAACCCUGGUGGGGGGGGGGUGUUGUUAUUAUCUUUACUUUGUAGAUAAGGAAGCCUAGACUUAGGAAGAAGAGUGGCAGAGCCAAGUGAAUCCCCCGGAGUUUGCCAAAUCCGCCAGUGGGGUCUCCCUGCCACACUCACCUGAGCCCAGGUUCAGGGCCUGCUGAGACCCACAGCACAACGAAGCCAGGUCUGACUGGAGGGUGGACCUCCGGGAGCUCAGCUGGGUAGUGCGAGGCCUCGUGUCAGCCAAUGGCAGCAGGUUUUACUGAUGCUUCUGGAGGGCCCACCCUCUGGAAAUGCAAGCCCGUUGGUUCCCAGGACUGGAAGCCUCAAGCACGUGUGGCCCUAGACCUCAAAGAGGGUUUGGCUGCUGUGGCUUCUCUGGCAACAAAAGCUGUUGAUUUGUUUUUUGAGCCGAGUGGCUAGUUGAGGGCACCAGCCACAACCUGCUAUUAGGAGCUCCUCACUGCGGUCUGCGUGGAGCGCUCAGGGAAGAGCCCCCGUGUGUCCUGGGAUCCCACGGUCUCUUGUUUCUUCCCUCUUGGUUGGCAUGUGGCUGGGGCAGGGGACACCCUGGGGAUUUCGGCGUGAGUCUCUCUCCCUCACAGGACUGUGCAGAGCUCUCCUGAAGCUGUGGGACCAACCACAUCUGAGGAGUCCUCACUCCCAGACCCCUGCCCUUUUAGGUCCUCGGUGUUUCCAAACACUUCUUCAGGACCCGUUCCUGGAGAACUUUCUGUAGAUAUGGAUGCAAAUACAGAAGGGUGGGCCCCAAAGCACUUCUGGUGAUUGAAUGUGCUGCCUCUGUGCAUUGCUUUGUCUCUCUCUGUCCACCCCUCACCAGAACGGAUGCUUCCCAGCUUGGGAUCUUGCCUCUCUUGUCCUCUGAUAUAUCCUCAGUGCCUAGAACACGGUGCUCUACAACAGCACAGAGCAGGGGAGCCACUAUUGAUCCAUGGGUGUGCCCUGGCAACUGGUACAGGGUCUUGUGCUCAGUGUCUGCUUCAUCAGGAGCUGGACCCAAUCACCCACUAAAUGGUCAUUUGUUAAUUAACUAAGGGAUGAAUACUGGAAGUAGACUGGUGAGGAAAAAACAAGAUUCGGUUCCAGCCUUCCUGGACUUGCUAGGGGGUAAGAUAGUAAGAGUCACGUAAACGAAAGGGAAAAUUAUAAUUUUGAUAUGGACUUUAAAGGGGAGCGUGGGACCCUGAUUGCAAAAAUGGCCCCAAUUCCCUGCCCUUCCCCGCACAGUGUGACUUUCCCCAGGAUGAAGUGGAAACUCUCCCCACCUCUCGCAUGUGGGGUGGCCCGGGAUUUGCUUGGGCCAAUGGGGUGCAGUGAAAGUGGAGCUGUGGCAGUUCCGAGGCCAGGCCUCAAGAAGCCUUGCUGGCAUCUGCUGCCAUCAUGAGAACGUGCCCAGGCAAGCCUGCUGCAGAUAAGAGACUGUGGAACGUAGUGGAGUUGUACCAGGGGAGCCGGCCUCCAGCCUGAUCACAGAUACAAGGGCCAGCCCACCUGAGCCUGGCCCAGAGUGGUGGAACUGUCAGCCUUCUUACAGACUUGUAGAAGUAAUCCAUGGUGGGUGUGUGAAGCUUUGGGGUGAUUUUGUCAAGCAGCAUUACCAUGGCAAUACAUGCCUGAUACAGGGAGAUCCGUGAGAAUGUAUAAUCAGGGAAUGUGGCCAGUCUGGGAGGUCAGGUAGGGCUUCCCUGAGCAAACAGAGACUGAGCUGGGACCUGCUGGCAGAGUGGAGUAGGUGUUAGCUAGGUGAAGGGAUGGGGAGAGAAUUCCAUGAAGAGAGUGCUGUGUGUGCAAAGGCCCAGUGGUGGGAGGAGCACGACCCAUUCAGAAACUGAGGCGCUCAGUGUGGUGGCGGCAGCAGCAGGAAGAUUGGCCCCCCUUUUCAGGCCCGGAUAAAUAAGCCUUUUCAUUUCCAGGGAACUCGACAUCCCACUUAUCAUGAGCAAUGCUAAUGAUGCCAUGCUCUUCACCCUGAUGUUUGCAUAGGACAGGCCCUAAGGGACUCUGCUUUCAUGGGUCCCAGGGGAACCAAGUGGGUGACCCUCAAUGGCAGGGCUGAAAGUGUUCUUAGAGGCUGUGUGGCCCAACCUGUCCUUUAAUGACUGGGAAGCGGGGGCCUGGAGAGGGAAUGUGGCCGGCCUCGGGUGCUCCAGGGCGGGCCAGGGGUGUGCCAAGAGUCACACCAUCCCUCUCAGACGUGAUCUCUCCUGUGACCGGGUGAACCCUCCAGCCCUGUGAGCUCGAGGAAGGGUUCAGAGAAACAGCAACAGCAGUUGUAGAUUUAUAGAGAGGACGGACGACUCCCCUUCAGAAACCUGCUGUGUGUCUGAUGCACUGUAAGGAGCUUUAUGAAGAUCGUUUCAUUUAAUUCUCUUAGCAACUAUGGGGUGGGAGCUCAUAUUGUUACAUUAUUUUAUUCCUGUGAUACACGAGGAGACUGAAAUUCAGAGCGAUGAAAUCAUUUGCUUAGGUUUACACGGCCUUCGAGUUACAAGGGUUUCUCUGAUUCCAAAGGCCACGUUUUUCCCACCCCAACACGCUGCCUCUGUGAACCUAAUUCCUUUCUGAUGGACUUGUUGGAUUCCAGUUGGUUGUGAGGGCCAUCAGGUGUGGCAGGUAUUUACUAAUUUUUGGCCAGCUGGUACUCAACCCUGAUCUCUCCUUUGGAGGAGUUUGUCACUGGGGACAGUCAUGGGGUGACAGCCAUUCCCUUGGACUCUUCUCCCUACUCAAGGGCCCUGCCUAAGCAGGCAGAAGUCAACAGUUACACAAAACCCCCCAAAAUCCUCCCAGUUGGUUCCUGCGUCCCACGGCCCAGGAAAUGUACAUGAGUCACUGAACCACCAACUCUCUGGGGCCCCCCACCUGGUGGGGGAUUAGCUCUUGUAGUUUAGAUGAAAGAAGGACAAGAGAAUCUUCCUAGUGGACAAAUUACCCGUGUGUAAUUGGGUAUCAUUGGGACCAGGUGGCGGAGUGUAUAUUAUGAAGCCCAAACUGUUGUGAGACUUUUCGUUUCCAGAGUUGGACCAGUGGAGCUCAAUCCAGUUCAGCUUGACUCAACUCAACUGAGCUCAUCACAACUAAGUUCAGCUCAAUGCAGGUCAACUCAUCUUGACUUAGCUCAGUGCACAUCAGCUCCGCUCAACGCAGUGCUCAGAGUGGAUCAUCUCUGCUCAAUGGACCCACCUUGACUCGACUCAGUGCAGCUCAACUCAACACAACUCAGCUGUACUAGGCUUGCUUGGUUCAACUCCACUUAACUCAACUCAGCUCAACUGGGAACGGCUACAUUCAGUCAAUUAGGGAGGCAUUAACCGAGUAUCAAGGUUAGAGGCUCAUGUGGUUGAUUCCUCCAGGAACACAUACUUUAGUCAUUAAAAUAAGGAGUUUGGAUAUGAAGAAUGUAGAUAGUAAUAUACAAGCAAAGACUUUAAAGCUCAAUGGAAGGAACAGCUACUUCUCACUGGUGAAGGCUUCUUGAAAGUCAUAUUAUUUCAGCCCCACAGCUGGCACUCAGGAGCUGGAGUGUGGUAUGAUUCAAGCUAUAUUUUCACACCAUAAAUGUUGGGAGAACAGAGGAUGGGUGGGAAGGGAUGAGGCAGGAAGACUAGGUAGGAGAGAAGAGUAUCUGGGAAUCCAGGGCCCCAGGGAUGAUGGAGAGAGGAAGUGUUGGCUAAAUACUCAUCUAUAAGUUCCCACCAAAUGUCAUGCAGAAUCUACAGGGCAUUUAACAGCCUUGGAAGAUUAUGGUCUCGUCUUUCUAAGUCUCUUACAUUCUAAAACCUCAAGUUCUUCAUCUGCAAUUAUGGAAUUUAUAGUACUAUUCCCCCUAAGGAUUGUGAAAAUUCAAUUGGUAUACAAGUGCUUAAAAAGUCAAGUAUUUUUGAACUUAAGAAAAAUAUGGAGAGUAAUAUAACUAAUACUCAUGCACCCACUACCUAGAAUAAAUAAAUAUUAAUGUUUUGUUAAGUUGGCUUUGGCUUUUUUGUUUCUUUUGGAAGCAAAGUCCUUGACAGUUGUGUUGACAUUCCACUAUACCCCUCUCCAAAUCUGUCCUUCUCACUCCCUGCCUGAGACACCAUUUCUGGAAUGGGAUGUGUCCUUUCCUGUAUUUUUACUACACAUAAACAUAUCCCUAAAUAAUAAAUGGUAUUGUUUGUGUGUUUUAAACCUGUAUAUAAACGGC
ensembl:lncRNA